UCGAGCAAGGAGGAAAACACCCGAGGGACGCGACUAAGCACAAGAUGGCGGAGCUGGCUGGCCGCCAAGGCUCAGGCGGGGCUGCUGUGGCCGCCAUUAGGCCCCCUCCCCCUCCCCGCCGGUACAUCCUCAUGUCAGGCUGUAAGGGGCCCGGGCAUAGCAGCAGGGGAACGGCCGUGUCCGCGUCCCGAGCUCGUCAUCGCCGCCACCCCCCGGACAGCAGGCUGCUCUCACCGAGACCGGACCGGCUGUGAGCUCAGGCGGCCCGCAUUCCAGCCCGCCGGCUCCGCAACGGGACUUACGCACCGGAUCGGCCCAGCACCUCACAAUGGUCCUCCCUCUCCCGCCAGGAGCUGCAGGCCAGCGAACGGCACAGCUGGCUCUCCCUUACCAGCGAAAUACCGGAGUCUUCGCAUACCCCCUCCCCUUAAACCGAGCGCCACCCAUCCCCUUUGCCGCUCGCGGGGGUGCCCCGAGCAGGGUCCCGGUGCUCACCCCCCGCACCCCAUCCCUCCUCCUGACCCCAACGGGACAAACCCGCCGGGCCGCCUCAAUUUUAAAAACCGUUUGUUUUUUUUUACCUCAGGAACUGGCGCCAAACGUGCCCUGGCGGUGACCCUGACCCGGGCCCCGGCGGGCCGGUGUUGGGCAGCGAUGCCCGGCGGUGGCCCUACCCCGGCAGGGCGGCGGCGGUGGUGAAGGGGCUAUCGGGGUGCGGGGGGGCCGGGGCUGUGCUGCGGGGCUGCUGUGCGGGGGGUAUGUUUUGGUUUGUGUGCCGUGCCCUGUGAAAGGUCAGAGUUCGUGACCCCGCCCGCCGCUGCCGCCGCCUGAGAGCGUGUCCCCGCUUCCUCGUCCCCGCGCUAGGCCGGCCGCGGCCCCUUCAUCCCCCUCGCGGGGCGGGGCUGGGGACGGCGGCGGGGAGGGGCUACCUGGGCCUCUCCGAGCCUCGCCGGGAACGCUCCGCCGGGCAGCGCGGGACCGCUCCGUCGGGCUGGCAGUGGCGCUGGAGUGUGGGGAGAUAGAGGAGGCUCCGGGCCUCGGAGGCUGGUGCUGGGCCGCGGCAGCUGCCGGCGGAAGAGGACGCAGGGCGGCCACCUGAGCCUGGACGAUCCUGAUCCGCGCCCCGCUAUGGAACGCGAUGGGACGGCGCUUCCCUGCUCAGAGCAGCCCUCCACAGCUCGGUCCAAGGCUGGAGGUGACAAGCGGAGGCGGUGAUUGAGUGCGGGAUGGGUGCUGGUGCCCACGUGUGUGUUGGAUCUCCCGAGAGUUGCUCAGCUGAAGUUGCUCUUGCAGUUGAUGCUGGCACAGGGGUUGGCGUCAGGCUGUCCUGGGGUUUUCUUGCCUUCCCUAAGGUCGGUGUUGUUGAUGGGGGCUCUCCCACCGGAGCUGGCUUGGGGGAAAAACGUGUUGCGCUUCCGAGUGAGUAACUGUAGGCAUGAGCAGAUGUGGCUCAGGUGGUUCAGGACCUUACCUACCACCUCCCGGUGCUUGUCGUCUCUUCCUGGGGCCGUUGGAUGUUGGCCCGUGACCCGGGUUGCUGUUGUAGCUGUGUGUAGCUAUUUCUUAACUUGCCCUUAUCAGAAUGAUCUUGGGCCUUCUACUAAGUUUCUGUUAAGUCUAGUUAUUUUGGCAGAAGCUAACAUAAGUAGUGAUCAGAUGAAAAAACCCUUGAAUAUCUGAAGUGAUAGUAACUCCUGAAAUGAAAAACACGCAGGAGAAAGCAGCUGAAUGUAGCAAUCGCUGAAACAGGAGUUUCUGUUCGACUAGCAGCCUAAUUUGUUUGGGUUUUUUUGUUUUGUUUUUGGUUGGUUUUGUUAGAACGGCCCCUUUGGAGCAAGGAGAUGAGAAAUGAAGAAUGAUGUAUAUGAAUUGCAGUCUUGCUGUUACAAAACUGGAGUUAACAUUCAAGAACGUGUGUUUGCAAUACAUGAAUAAAGGAUAAUGUUUAAAAAAUGUCUUGGGUGUUCACUACUGCAAUGUUAAAUAUAUGAAGAAUCUUCAAAUUCUCAAAACACAGAUAUGCACAUCCCUUUAAAAGCAAAUUUUUUUUUACUUCAGAAAACAUAGUAUUAAAGUGUAAGCAUGUUUCUGUAACACAGAUAAGUUUAGGGAUUUUCAGAAUUCUUGUAACAGCCUUACUGUAUAAGUAGGUUAGAUGUUUGGGUAAGAAUGUGUUUUCUUGUUAUAAAUCCAGGACAAUGACUUGUGGAGCAGCUUGUAUGAGUACAGCAUAUUUUUUAAAUAGAGGAUUUCAAAAAGAAACUCACAUUUUAAAAGUGAAAUAAGGGAAUAAACUGUUAGUCUGGCUUUAAGCUGUGUGAUAUGCAUCUGUUGGAUCAUAGUUGUAAGUGAAUUUAAACCGAAUCUUUAGUUUUAUUCUUUAUUUGCUAUCCUAAAAUGUUUUUAUCAGAAUUUUAACCUUUUUCUUUUUUUUCUUUUUUAACAUUUUAAUUACUUUUUUCACAACAGUUGUGUGUUCAUAGGUAGAAAAGUAUUUCAGUCUUGUGGUCGGAGAAUUCUCUAACAAGGCAUAGUAUUGACAAUGGUUAUCUUAAGUUGUGCACUCUUCAGUGAAUGGUUGUCAUUUGCUGAAUAAAUGAGAGGAGAGUCCAACUGUGAAUAAAGAUGCUUUUGAUUUUGAGAGUUACGAGCAGAAAUAUCAGAAUAUAUAGAAUGGGGAGCAAGUAGACUAGGAUACUUUCAAUUAAAUUUCUGCUUUAUAUAGAGAUCUUAUUUUGAGCUCUUCAGGGAAAUAAUGUGUUAUUUUUUUCCUUGGUAAUUAAUUUUUUUUUGCUAACUAGCAGAUUCUCUUCCCUUUACCCCUUAAAAGGGAGGGCUAGCAUUUCUGUAGCUUUUGACUGCUAACCUGUUUGUUUCUACUUCUCUGAUCUCUGCCAGUAUUUGGAGUAGGUUGAAAUUUUCAGCUUUUCAGCUGAUGGAUAGAGAGAGCCAGGACUUUUCAGUGACUUGCUACAUGUUUGUGUUUUGCCAGUUCACUUUUCUGCAGUUGUUGCUCUAUAAUUGCUUACAAGUAAUUUUCCUUCAGUAGGUCUUCUCAGUCCUUUUCACUACUCCACGUUCAGAAGUGUGCAAGAGUAUCCUUGGAGGGGGGUGGGUGUGCCUGUGUUCAUUUUUUUGACUGGCUUGGGCAAAGGCGUGUAAGCUGUCAUGACAAAGCUUUGCCAGUGGUUUUGGUGCAUCAGAAAAUGUACCGAUUGCCUUAGCUCUUGAUAAAUUAGAGGGGUGAACUCUGUAGUGCAGCUUACUGGUUUGCUCACCUCCAUCUGUUCUUACAGUUGUGUUGUAACCUCUUUUGCCAUAGGUUGUUUUUCUUCUGGCUUUAUAUACUGAAAACUGAUGUGAUUCUGCACUCAGGCACUGCAGCAGUAGCCUUGUGUACCCUGUGCCAUUCUGCUGUACAGCAGUCCAUCAGGUGUCCUGGCUUGGAAGGCUGCUUCUCUUGCCUGUGUAACUGCUGCUGUUGUUUCUUGGCCUUUUCAAGUGUUCUGCCUCAGUGUUGUGUUUAAGAAUGUACCUCUGACUUGUCACUGCUUGCUUUUUGUUGUUUUUUGUUUGUUUGUUUUUAAUAUGAACAGAAUUCUUGUUGAAGUAACUUUGGUAUUUGUCUGAGAAAAGACUGGAAAUAAAAGCAUGCAUGUCUGAAGGCCCAGAAGUGCUGUCAAGGAUUCUUACAUAAACCUGCACAAUUAAAGAUCUGCACUAUCCUUUCAAGAUGUAUUAAUAAUAUUUGGUAACUCAAGAGAAAAUGGAAACAUUUGUGUCUAUAAACUGGUGUUAGUUUCUGAAGGAUUUUCUUGAUAAUACAGUAUAUAUUAUCAACCAGAUAUAUGUGUGCUUGUGAAAGGAUUGCUGUAGCAUAAUGAAAUAGGAGAACAGAAAAGGCCAGCAAUCACUGGGAUGCUAAGCCUAUAAAACAGAUGUGUGCUGAUGAUAAUUUCCAGGCAUGUUGUAUCAUCACCCCACUGGAUGUGUAACUGAGUGUACAGCCUGUUUCAGCAGGGCUUCCCCUCCUAGAGGCUUGUGCAUUGUGAGAAUUUUGCUGUGGGAGGACAUAACACUGAAGAUUGCUCACUUUAGAGCCUAACUGAUCUAGCAGUCUAGAGAAAAGGUGGGUUUAUCUGUUUAUGUCACCAUGCUUUUGAGCAUACACAUUUUAUUUCUUUGUUAAAGCCCAAAUUCUUAGGUAUUUUGGAAAGUAGGGUAUUCCACUUAUACCAGUGGUCUAGACUGUUAAAGCACAAUUCUGUAAGCUUGAACAUUGUAGUAAUUCUGGUUUGUUUUGAAUAUUGCAGAUUAAUAAACUGGCUGCUGACUGCUGGAAGACAAACAGAAAUGCUUUAAAGGUGUAUUUUUCCUCUGGGUGGUACUGGAAAUGAAAAUACAGUGAUGAGAAUUGUGUAUCUUCUUAGGCAAAAUCUGCAGAUACCCUACUGGAUGUUUUGCUCAUUUGAAUAACAAACUAAGUAUGAUUGCUUAGUGUUACCUUGCAGAAAUGUUCCAAGGUGUAUAUGCAUGGAUAGUUGUGAGGACUGGGGGAGGUGAUCCUGAGUUAAAAUGAUAUGCUUUCAUAGUAUUAAUGACUUUAUUGAAAUAAAAGUACUGGUGUGUCA